GCGCGAAAACUUUACAAUGCUGGCAACAGCGAUAAGGGAACCUCGAGUGCCAGGUUACAAAUCUGGCUGUCGAGAUGCCUAAAAAGCAUUUCAUAGCAAGGGCGGGGCAAGACCGGUGCCAGCCGCCGCGGUAACACCGGCGGCUCGAGUGGUAACCGUUAUUAUUGGGUCUAAAGGGUCUGUAGCCGGCCGGAUAAGUCUCUUGAGAAAUCUGGCAGCUUAACUGUCAGGCUUUCAGGAGAUACUGUCUGGCUCGAGGCCGGGAGAGGUGAGAGGUACUUCAGGGGUAGGGGUGAAAUCGUGUAAUCCUUGAAGGACCACCAGUGGCGAAGGCGUCUCACCAGAACGGACCUGACGGCAAGGGACGAAAGCUAGGGGCACGAACC
rnacentral:rRNA from 1 species